GGAGCGUGGCUCAGAUGGUAGAGCGCUCGCUUUUAGCAUGCGAGAGGUACGGCGAUCGAUACCCCGCGCUCUCCA